CUUGCAGUUCAGGUCUCGUGUACUCGGCUACCCAUGACUCAGUGCUGCCACAGAUUUGCCAUUCAUUCCAGUUGGUUGACCAAUAAUCCACCUCUUCCAGCAUCUUUUUCAUGUAUUUCAUGAAUGUUCUUCAAACAACGAAAAGGUGAAGCGGUUGCUUGAGCAACCACCCCUCCAUACCAAAUAAAAUCAUUUGGGGGCCCACUUAUUCCUGCAUAAUAAAGGGAAGGGUCAAGGAAGCAUAAGCAAUAAACCUCAGAUACUGGCGAGUAAGACUGAUGGUUAUCUGCUUGCAAAGGUUUACUGGCCUCCCUUGUUGGCAUGGCAACAGCCUGGGCAAAAUGCAAACAUGGGCAUUCUGAUGUCACGCAUGAUGUCACAAACAGGUUAUGCUCAAAAGUCUCAGCAGAGUUAGAAGCAGUUAACAGUCAGUCCAUGUCUGAACUCUGGCAAGAUGGAUCAUCAAGUCAGGUGAUGACUUUAUAUUGGGGCUCUAUUGAGGGGAAGAUUUUCAAUAUUUAAAGUUUUCUUAAGCCCAGUACUGAAUAGAAUUAUUUGGACCUCCAACAACCUCAUCAUAGGGUUUGAGAAAGAAACCUUAAUAACAAUUCGGAGAUACUGAACAUUUCAAAAUGGGGCUUGUAUUCUAAAAUCGAACACCUGGAAGAGGGAGAUGAAUUUACUCACAGUAAAAGUUGUGGAGUAACACUGGAUCAGAAUUUGUUUAUAAAGAUUCACUGGAUCAACUAGUCUAUAAACUUCUAGAAGCAGGCUUUCAGGUUACACGCAACUCAAAAUCAAGCUUAGGUCAUGAGAGCAAAAAUCUAAAUUAAUUUGCUGAAUAGCGAGGCAUCAGUGAUUCUCUAGCCACAACAGGGAUUUAUAACUGUCCAACUGCUGUUGGCAUGGAGAUAGCAUGGCAGAAUAGAAACAUGGACGUUCUGUGUGAUGUCACAAAAAGAAUAAGCUCAGAGGUCUUGACAGAGAGACAGUUAAUGGUCAAACCAUGUCUGAACUCUCAGGUGAUGAAUUUAUUUGGGGGAUAUAUUGACUUUUACCACAGGGGAACAAGAGCUUGGGAAUUAAGACAUUUAUUAAGCUUCCCAACCCCAGUACUAAAUCUUUGCGGAAGUAUUCACCUCUGCAUAGCAAGGGGCAAAAAAACUUGAAGAACAAUUCUGAAGAAUGAUCUGGAGAUAUUGAACAGUUCAAAAUGAUUUCUAAAUAUUUAAAAUGCUGUAAACAGGUGGAAGGAAGUGGGUGCAAUUUGGAGCAGAAAUUAUCAAAUAGAAUUGGAUCAGAAUUCAUCCAUAAAGGAUUCAUUGGAUCGACUAGUUUAUAAGCUUUGGGAAUCAGGCUUGCAGGGUUACGCGAAAGUCUGAUUUAGACUUAGGUUAUGGGAGCAAAUAUAAAAUCAAAUGUGUUGGGUCGUCAGGCAUUGAUGGCUCUCUAGCUGCAAGGAAUUCCUACUGCCCACUUGCUGUUGGCAUGGAGAUAGCUGGAACCGAAUGCAAACAUGACAUUCUUCUGUCAUGAAUGAUGUCACAAAUAGGAUAAGCUUUGGCAGGUGGGAGUGAGUUAACAGACAGACCAAAUCUGAACUUUGGCAAGAUGGAUCUUUAUAAUAGGUGAUGGGUUUAUUGGGGGGGAGGGUAGGCAAUACUAACUUUUACUGGAGUAGGGAAAUUGGAACAUUUUGAAGACUGAACCCAGUCAACUCUUAAUUCAGCCGCGAUUCACGUUAUAAACAAUUCGCCCAACAGACAGGCAACCUUAGGACACAUGACCCUUUAAGCCAAUUCUCCACCUUCCUACAAUAUUUCUGAUGUACAUUCUAGAAUUCAGCCAAAAUGUCUUUCUGAUAAAAAUUUCUAAGAUUUUAAUUUUUCUCACCCUACCCAGAUCAAGAACGAAAAGGCUACUUUGCAGAAUAUUCUACCAUUCCCCUCUCCCCACACAAUGCACCAGAUAAUCAGGACAUUGUAUGGGAUGCAAAAUGGGGGCCACUGCUUCUGCUGUUGCUAUUUGAGAGGUGGCAGUUACAAAUAACAACAACUUAGGGGGGAAGGAAGAAGCUGCCUCACUGCUUUUGGUGAAUCCUGUCUGAGGGUUAGAGGGGUAGGGGUAGGGGUAGUGUUGGGGUUGGAGUUGGAGUUAGGGUCAGGGGUAGGGUCAGGGUUUGAGGUAGAGUUAAAGUCGAGUAGGGGUAGGAUUUGGGUUGGGGUUAGGGUCAGGGUCAGUAUUAGGGUUGGAGGUAGGGUUAGGGUUAGUUAUUUUUUAUUAUUUUAUUUUUAUUCUAAAUUUUAUUCUAGGUCACCCUUUAACUUUGUAGAUUCCAGGGCAGCACAUUACCUUGAUAUUUUAUGAGAAAGCAGUGUGUGCUUGCUUAAAUAAAUAAACAAAUGAAUAAAUAAAUGUCAGGGGUACCACCCCAUAAAGGCCCUCUCACUUCACCAACUGUUGGUUACUUAGAGGAAAGCCCCAUUAGAUCAUGCAUCUGUCAGGUGCUGACGGAUUCAUUCCCAAGUGCAAGGAAACAACACCUCUCUUGCAACAGCUUCUAAAAUACAGCCGAACCUUGGUUGUCGAAUGUAAUCCGUUAUGGAAGCCCAUUCAGCUUCCAAAAUGUUCAACAACCAAGGCGCGGCUUCCAAUUGGCUGCAAGAGCUUCCUGCACUCAAGCGGAAGCCACGUCGGAUGUUCAGCUUCUGAAAAAUGUUCGAAAACUGGAACACGUACUUUCAGGUUUUCGGUGUUCGUGAGCUGAAACGUACGAUAACGGAGGCAUUUGGGAACUGAGGUUUGACUGUACAUCAUCAGGCACCAAUUCAUUUUUUCUCAGAGAGUAAGGAUCUAAUGCUGUUGCCAAGAUUACAGCACAGCAGCAAAGCCGACCUCAUUGGCCGUUUCUCUUGGGAUGUCGUUUAAUAUAGGGUCAUUUUCCUUUAAUUUGCAGAGGUUGCCUUGGAUGCUUGAGUUGAGAUUCCUGAGUUACAGUGGGUUGGGCUAGAUGACCCUCAGGGUAUAGAGCCCUGCCUGAGACUCUAGGGAUGCUGUUGAGUUACCAUCAACCCAACUGCUAAGAUGCUGGCCAGUGGGCAGCCAACAGGGAAUGGUGUUUCUGCCACUGCAGCAGCAGCAGCAGCAAAGGGAGAGGGGAAGCAAGACUGUGUGUUUGUGGCCAUGGGGCAGGAGGUAUUGCCAGCAAUGUACCCAGGGCCCCUGAAUAAAUCUGACACUUGUUUGUCCAACACUCCACUCCCUGGACUGCAACUGCCACCCAGUUCCCUCUUGGCCCCUUUACGUUUAGUGCCAUGGUCUGAUUCGACACAGCUGACUCCUGGUGUGGUCAGAAAGCUCAACCCACUUGUAUUUGGCUAAUGCAACUCUUUGAGAUAAGCAUGUAGUACUAGGGUGGCUUCCCUCCUGGACUUUUGAUCCCUUUCUCUUUGCACAGUGCUCCAUGCUCUGCUUCGCUAGGAGGAAACUGACUUACCGUAUAUACUUGGUCAGUCCGUUGGUUCAUCUAGGUCACCAUUGUCUCCAGUAUGGAGAAGCCAAGGAAAGACUUCCAGAUGACCUUGGACCACAACUUCUACCCUUCCUGACUUUGGGCCAUGCAGCUGUGUUUAGACUUUCACUGUUGUUUCAUAUUUUCUUACGUUUCCUUCUUAUAGGUUUGUCAUGGCUACAAGAGGUAUUCUGCAAGGGCUCUUUUCAAAAUCAGCAUGCAGCCGGUCCCCUUUCCUUCCACACACUCUUUCUCGCACACAAAUUUGCCAGUUUUCUUUCGUUAGGCCUUUUGGCUGUCCUUUUAGUCACUAUUUGCUCUGCAACAAUUAGCAGCUGAUCACUCUCUUUUUUUCCCUGGCCGAUAAUCCUACCUACACACAGACACACACACUUGCAUUUCCUCACUCAGAUUGAGAAAUACUUCUACUACGAGGGUAAACAGGUGCUGUUAUAGCCAAAAUGAAAUUGGUGGCUAUAACCUAGCACCUAGGUUAUAGGUUAAAAACCUAGUCUUGGUUUUUUUGUUUUGUUUUUAAUUUGUUUAACCAUUUUUUCGAUACAAACAUCAACCGCAAAAGACACAUACAACAAAAACCAUAAUAACAAUAAUAACACAAUUUGAUGAUUUAGAUUUGAAUACACCUAUGACUACACCUUUUUAAACAAUAUUUUCCCACCUCUCUCUCCUCCCCCUACUUCCCACCACUAUCCGCCUUAUCGCCUAAAUAUUCGCUCCGAAUUUCUUGGAUUCAGUCUUGGUUUUUAAUCAUCCAACAGAUGUUUUCUAUUUUAAAAAAUCAAGAGUUGGGAGAUCAGAUCACAGGUCCGAAAGGCCUUUCCUUGCUGACCUCUGCCAAGGGUUUGCGCUGGUAAUUUCUGUGUGUCGGACUAUUUUACAUUUUUAGUACACAAAACCUGUUCUGUCUGAUAACUAGUUCCUGAUAGAAAACGCGGUCGAGAGGGAAUGGAGCAUGAAGGGAAAUUUGACGGAAAAUAACUACAAGCACUGCUGGGAACCUAAGAAGAGCCUACUGGAUCAGACCAAUGCCCCAUAUAGUCCAGCAUCCUGUUUUUGCCAACCAAAUGUCUAUGGGAAGCCACCCCAAGCCCAAGCAGGACCUUUGUGUGACAGCCACUCCACCCACGUGUGAUUCCCAGCCACUGGUACACCAGAGACUCACAGCCUCAAGGAGGUAGAACAUGUGCAUCAUGGCUCCUAGCCACAGAUAGCCUUAUCCCUUCCAUGAAUUUGUCUAAUCCCCAUCCAAGUUGAUGUCCAAUCACUGCUUCUUGUGUGAGAGAAUUCCAUAGCUUAACUAGUUAUGUGCAGAGUGAAGACGGGCUUUGUUUUUCCAAUCCUGAACCUUCCAACAAUCAGCAUCACUGGACGCCUAUAAAUUCUAGCUUCAUGAGAGAGGGAGAAAACCGUCUCUAUCCAACUUUCUCCAAGCGACCCAUAAUUCUACACAUUUCUACCCUGUCUCCUCUCACUCACCUUUUCUCUACACUAAAAAGCCCCAAAUGAAACAACUUUUCCUCGCAGGAAAAGAGUUGCUGCAUCUCUGGUAACCGGAACCAGGUAUGAAAUCUUAAAUAACGUAAGUAUAUUCUCUCCUCUCUCUUCAAAUGGAAAAAUCUGUUGUUCACACCAUGCUUUUCUUUCACCUGAAACCGGUUUUCUUCCUCCAAGCUGAUUAAUCUUUCUUUUUAAAUUGUUUUUAUUAAAGAUUUUUCAGUUAC